GCCUGGGUGGCUCAUUCAGUUGAGCAUCUGACUUCGGCUCAGGCCAUGAUGUCACAGUUUGUGAGUUCGAGCCCCACAUUGGGCU
rnacentral:tRNA from 1 species